UUAAAAUACUAGCCACUGAUACUCAAACAAUACUGUAAUUUCUUGAAUAUUUUAGGAUUCUGCUUUGAGCUGUUGUCUCUAAGCAACACAUCAGGCAGUGUUGCACUGUUUCAUAUGACUAUAAAAUAUAUACUUUUUUUUCACCUAAAUAGUGAAGUUGCUAAAACCUUUAAAGACACCUAUGUUAAACGGUGGAUUAGUUGGUAAAAGCCAGAAGAUUGCUAUCUGAUUGUUUUGACUCCUCACUAUUGAGACUCAACUGGGAACGCUGCUCAUCGAAAACUCACAUUGACAUGGGAAAAAAAGAGAUGUGAAUUACUGAGUACAUAACAAGAGAUGAAUAGAAGAAAGGUCUGGAGGGAAUUUUACAGAUGUCCUAGUCAUGAGAAACUUUGCAAAAAGCUUGUGAAGCUGCCCACAGAUUUGAAGCUGUGAGAAAUCUGAAAUGCCAUGGAUGACUAUGAUGCUACUUAAAAUUGCUGAGGUUAAUGGACUGCACGGUAGGUAUUAUGAAUGUCACUUAACAGCACUGCUUUUACAGAACAGAGUUUUCCUCUUCUAAUAAUGUUAAUUAUGAAGCAUACGUAUUCUGAGACAACAUAAUGGAUGCUACUGUUCUGUUUGUGAAAACACUUGAUGUUUAUCAGUGCUGGUGAGGGACAGCAUACUGCAUAAUUCUGCUGUACUUAAUUUUAUAUUGUACAUAAUACGACACUACUUCAGAUACACUUCUUACAUGCCAGCAGAACAUCACAGUUUUCUUCUUCACCUUAGAACAUACAGUAAAAAACUGUUCCUGCUUUUAUAAUAGCCAAGAAUGCAAAGUGCACCUCAUCCAAUACCUUCAUUAUUUUAGGCUUUCUUCAGCCUUGUGAGUAUUCUUUCUGAAGAAAAUCAGUCUGAUCUUCAGUGUCUGAAAGUUUCUAAUUACUGGGUUUCUUUUCCCCAACAGGUCUCCUGUCUUUUAUCCCCGGCAGAACUAAUUUGGACUAAAUCAAGACAUAAGCAAACUUACCAAGUGUCAUGCAACUAGUGGCAGGGGCAUAAAAGCUGGUAGAUGGCGACAGCUACGGAGAGUAGGGUUCUAUGUUUGAAGCAGUCUUAACUCCUACCUCUUCCUUUCUUUUUCCUCUGGGAAAUGUAGAUGAGAGCCUUUCACUUUUGUCCUGGAUAUACAAAUACAUAUGUCUUAAUAAAGACCACUUAAAAUUUGUA